rnacentral:lncRNA from 1 species
CCCGCCUCGGCCUCCCAAAGUGCUGGGAUUGCAGGCACCCACCACCACAUCCAGCUAAUUGUUGUAUUUUUAAUAGAGGCGGGGUUUCGCCAUGUUGCACUGGCUGGUGUUGAACUCCUAACCUCAGGUGAUCCACCCGCCUCGGCCUCCCAAAGUGCUGGGAUUACAGGCCCGGUCCAGUUUGAUAGUUUGUUAUCAUGUUAUACGUACACUUAGAAUAAUGAUCCAGCCAUCUCAUUCUAACAGCAAUGAGAACUUAGGCUCCCCUCUCUACUAAAAUACAAAAGUUAGCUGGUCAUGGUGGUGCGGGCCUGUAAUCCCAGCUACUCGGGAGGCUGAUGCGGGAGAAUCACUUGAAACCCACAGGCGGAGGUUGCAGUGAGCUGAGGUGGUGCCACUACGCUCCAGCCUGGGGGAGGGGGACAUAGCGAGACUCGGUCUCAAAAACAAAACAAAACAAAACAAAACAAAACAAAAACAAAACAAAACAAAACAAAACACUGCCAAACUGUUUCCAAAGCAUCUGCAUCGUGUUUAAUUUCCAUAAGUAACGUAUGAGAAUUCUAGGUCCUCCAAAUAAUUAGCAGUCCUUCGUAGUGUCAGUUUUUGUUUCAGCCUUCCUUAUGGGUAUGCUGUGGCAUAUCCCUGAGAUUUUAAUUCGCAUUUUCCAGUGACUAAGGGUGUUGAACCACUCGUGCCUUCCUGUGCCUAUUUGACACUCCUAUAUUUUCUUUGGUGAAGUGUCUGUUCAAUCAUCUGCUCAUUAAAUUUUCCUUCGGUUGUUUGCCUUCUUAUUGUUGGAUUUUGAGAGUUCUAUGUACAAGUCCUUUGUCAGUCGUGUGAUUUGCAAGUCUUCUUCCUAGUCUCUGAAGUUUCUUUCUUUCAUAGAGCAAACGUUUUAAAUUUUUAUGAAGUAAGACUUCUCAGUUUUAUUUUUGGUGAAUUAUGUUUAUACUGCCAUAUAUAGGAACUCUUUGCUUAACUGGAGGUCAUGGAGAUUUUCUCCUACAUUUUCUUUUAAAAGUUUUAUAGUUUCAGAGUUUACAUGUAAUUCCAUAAUCUCCAUUUAGUUAAAUUUUGUAUGGGGUGUGAACUGUGGUUUGACUGUUUUCUUGUAUAUGGAUAUCCAAUUGUUUCACACAAUUUUUUUGAAAAGAAUAUCCUUGGCAGGGCACGGUAGCUCACACCUGUAAUCCCAGCACUUUAGGAGGUCAAGGUGGGCAGAUCAUGAGGUCAGGAGUUUGAGACCAGCCUGGCCAAUAUGGUGAAACCACGUCUCUAUUAAAAAUAGAAAAAUUAGCCAGGCGUGGUGGUGUGUGCCUGUAUUCACAGCUGCUUGGAUGGCUGAGGCAGGAGAAUCGCUUGAACCCAGGAGUCAGAGGUUUCAGUGAGCCGAGAUUGUGCCACUGCACUCCAGCCUGGGUGAAAGAGCUAGAUUCUCUCUCUCAAAAAAAAAAAAAAAAAAAAGGAAAGAAAGAAAGAAAAGAAAAGAAAAUCCUUUUUGCUUUAACUUGCCUUGCAGGUUUGUAGAAAACUCAAUUGUUGAAAUUUGGGUGGAUAUAUUUCUGGAUUUUCUAUUCUAUUCCAUGUUGGACCAAUACCACACUGCCCUAGUCACUGUUGCAUUAUAGUAUAUCUUUAAAGGAGUAAUGGGAAUCCUUCAACUACAUUUUUUCCCCAAUAAUUUUUGGCUAUUCUGCUUCCUUUGUGUUUCUAUGUAAAUUUUAUCAUCAGUGUGUCUAUUUCUACAAAUAGUCCUGAUAGGGUUUGAAUUGGGAUUUCUGUGAAUCUAUAGAUCAAUCUGAGGAGACUUAAUAAUGAUAUUGAUUCUCCCAAUUCAUGAAUAUAGUAUACCCCUGUAUUUAUUUGUUUUCUUGAAUUUCUUUUAUCAUUGUUUUGUAGUUUUCACCAUGACAGUCUUGCACAUAUUUUGUUAAAUGUACAGCUGAGAAUUUAAUUUUUUCUGGUGUACAAUGCUAAUAAAAUGGUGCUUUAAAAGAUGUGUUCUUCAGUUGUUUAUUGUUAAUACAUGGUAGAAGUUUGUAUCCUGUUUUUGUAAAAGGCCACAUAGUCAAUAUUUUAGGUCUUGCAUGCCC